ACAGCAGCAACAUUGACUUCACCAGUUUCCAAAUCUCCCCUCCCUCCAACUCAUCCCAGAUCUAACCCUCCAACUUAGCAACACCAUCUUGACCUGACCCACCUGUCCAUCUUCCCACCUAUCCACUCCAUCCCCCUACCAAAUACCUCACAACUGCAUCCACUUAUCACCUUCCCACCAGCUCCACCCACCAUUUAUCUUUCAGCUCCCUUCCCCAUCCACAUUCUUGAUGAAGGGCUUAUGCCUGAAACGUCUACUCUCCUGCUCCUCAGAUGCUGACUGACCCGCUGUGCCUUCUCCAUCACCACACUUUUCGACAAAUAAAAGUAUAUAACCAUAACGUGGGGAUUGUUCACUGACAUCGGAGGACAGACAGACAUGAAAUGUGCUGAUCAAAUGAAAAUUGGGAACUCUUACUCCUCUUCUUCUGGUCCAUCAUCCACCUGGAGAAAAUAUCGAAGAUCACCUUGCAAGGACUUCGAGGAGCAGGUAGUUUGAUACAUUUGUUACAAAGUUUGUGGAAGUCAUAACGACUGGACUGGAGAAGCAUUAUGUUAAUAUGAUAAACAAUUCAGCAACAGAAGGAGCUUUUUGUUUCCUAUGUUCCAAGUAUCAAUUUGAAAGGACACAGUAAGUGAUGCCAGGGGGCAUUCUCCCAGUUUGCCAAUCGGUACUGUAAUUUGGAUGGAGACAUCCCAGGGACGUCCAGGGGCUGUUACAGACUUUCAGCAACUCCAGAAUUUAUCUUUCACUUUCUGUACUGCAAUCUGCAGUUUCAUCUUGGCUUUCUGGAAUCUAUUCACGAAUCUUGCUACUCCCUUGAUUUCAAAAGAACAAAAAGAGAUUUUUGAAAACCACACCUCAGUGGAGAGCAAUUCCCAGAAGCUAGCUCCGUACAGCUGCAAAAACAAAAGAACUUGCGUAACAAACAGACAGUUCACUUUGUAACCUAUCACUCUGAAUCUGAGAAAUGACGUGGCAAUCUUUUGGACGUCCCUUUAAAAGACACUGCAGACACUCUGGUUCAAAGUUUUAUCUUCUAGUAAAUGUGUAUGUAUUUUAAAUUUGGCUGCUAGGUUUUGUGCAGCUAAACAACAUACAGGCUGAGAGCCAUGAGCAAUCAAAUGGAAUUUAGUUUGGGGCACAGAAACAAGUCAUAAAACCACAGAAUUUUAUGGUGCAGAAGGUGGUGAUUCAGCCCCUUGUAUCUACACUGGCACUAAGUCCAAAUGUUCAGAGAGCCAAUCUAUCUUUUUUCUGUAACUCUGCCCAUUGUUUGUACUUAAAUAAUCAUAUAAAGUCUUCUUGAACGUUGCAAUCGAUCCUGCCUCCUCCACACUUGUAGGUACUGCAUUUUAGACCUUGGCUUAUAACUAUUGACUGUGAGAAAAAGCUUUUCCUCACCUUGCAUAUGCUUCUUUUGCAAAACACUUUAAAAGCAUGUGAUCUGAUUCUCAAUUUUACAUGUCAGAAGUUUCUCCCUUUUUACUAUGCCCUGACCUCUAAUGAUUUGGAAAAACUUCUAUCAAAUCUCCCCUCAGCCUUCUCCUUAGUCUCAAUUUCUCGAAUCUAACUUCAUAAUAUAUUAUAGAAAGAAAACGAUAAUUUUUUUUGAUCAGGAAAAGCAUCUGCAGCUUAGCAUGUUCUCAGGACUUCAGAAGCAAACAAUAAUAAUGAAUUACUUUUGAAACGGAAAUAUUGUAGCCAGGAUACUAGGAAAUUGCUUUUAAUGUUUUCCAAUUCAUGCCAUGGCAUCUUUUACACCCACUUGCGUGAACAGAUGGAACCUCUGCCUAAUCGAUGCAGAAAGAUUGCAACUCUGUCAUUGCAGCUAUCCCAAAAGUACUCCAAUGAAGGGACUGCCUAGAUUGCAAGUUUGAAUUCAUAAUGUGGAUUUAAAUUCAGAGAAGAUUGCCACCAGCCGCAAAACAAUAACUCGAAAACAAUUUUAAGAACUUUGAAAAUGAACUUUUUUUGAAAAAUAAACCCAGGAUCUAGUCAAAGAAUAUACUUAUUAUUGUAGAUAUUUCUCAUUCCUUUAAAGUUUUCUUUCCAACACUGUUGUCCAAUUCAAUUGAUCAAUGUCAGUGAUUGAAACCCUAACUAUUAAUUACAUCAUAAAAAUGUCAAACUAGAAUUUUAUUUAUAAAUUACUAAAUAGUUUGUAAAUGACCAGAUUAUAAUCGAUAUCAAGGGUGUAAUGGAGACUGUCAACUACAAUGAACAUGUACAUAGUGAACAGAUAAGGACAGUAAAUUAAUGAAAUGACCUUAGAAAUAGCAUGUCCAUUGCCCCUAUAUUUCAGCUAAUCAAACAAGUUGUUCUUCAGAAUAGCAAAAGGUUAAAUCAUUGCUUAAUGAACAAUGUCACUGAAAACAGCAGACAAUGGGAGUUAAAACCUACAAUCUAAUCUGCAGGGGUUUAUGAUGGUCAUAGUCCUCCUCAAUGAAGCAAAGUCAGAAAUUGCUGGCUGUUUCAGAUCUCCAGAAUUUGUAGUUCCGUUUUAUUGGUUCUUCAAUUAAAUCUUUCUUUAGUAC